GAGCAAAGCUCUAAAGCACAGGGCUGGGCCGAGGGGGAAGGGGCUGGCUGGAAGAGGGAUCUGUCUGUCUUCAGCGUGUAGUAGACUGUGCUCGGCUGUGUGUGCUCAUGUCCAUGGUGUGUUCUGUGAAUCUGUCACGUUGGAGAGUCCAGUCUCAUUGGUCUCUGGUUGAAGCCCCGGAUUGCUGCCUGCAGGAGAAAGGUUCCCAACCUAUCAGGCAAAAGGACGACGUUUAGAUGACAGAAGAUAGUCCACUCAAAGGUGUAAAGGCGGCAGUGAACUCUUUUUGUUUUUAAUGUGGUGCAACCUACACAGAAGAGGAGGGGGCGCUGCUUUAAAGAAAAUCGAGGUCCAGAAAGAGAUCAUGUGACCCUCCGCAGAGUUUAGUAGAUCUCCAAAUAAGUUUAUAGGCUCAGUUUUAGCAAGUGAAGAAGACACACCUCCUCCAUCUUACUCUCAUAAUUCACAAAUGCUCAGAGUCCUGGUUUCUAUUUGGCCUGUGGCGAGGGCAGGUAGUCCUGACCCUUGGGCUACUAGAUCAACUAGUCCUACAGUCCAGAAACAGAGCCUCAGGCUCUCAGCAUCCAAUCGGAGACUAGCUCCUCCUGCAGCCCGCCCAGAGGCCUAAGCCUGUGUUAGCUCUACCCUUGGUGUCUUCCCUCGUUGCGGCCCCGCUCUCAGCUUGCGCCUAAG
rnacentral:lncRNA from 1 species